AUGUGGGUGAGAAUCCCACAGGCCGUAAACCCAAGGUUUCCAGGGGAAGGUUCGUCCGCCCUGGGUUAGUCGGGACCUAAGCUGAGGCCGAAAGGCGUAGGGGAUGGACAACAGGUUGAUAUUCCUGUACUACCGAUAACCGUUUGAGAGAAGGGAUGACACAGUAGGAUAAGCUAAGCACACUGUUGGUUAUGUGUGCCCAAGCAUUGAGGCAGUCAAAGUAGGCAAAUCCGCUUUGAUAAUGCUGGGAUGUGAUGGGGAGCGAAAUUUAGUAGCGAAGUAGCUGAUUUCACACUGUCAAGAAAAGUCUCUAUCGAGG
rnacentral:rRNA from 1 species